UCAAGAAAUCUUACGGCACUCUGAGGAGUGUGUGGCUUCGUGCCACGAGCAGUGUGUGAGGAGGGCUGGGCCUUGCACCCAGCUCCAAGUAGCUUCUUGUCUGACAUGACAGAUCAGUAAAACUUUUUUUUUUUUUCAGAAAUGUAUGUUUAAUAAGAGAAGCUAAGAGGUGGGUUUUGUGAUGAGCGUAGCUUUUCUGUACUGAAAUGUGUCAGUGCAGCGUGAAUUUGUCUAUUUUGUGGUUUCGUAGGUGUGUCUGAUUUAGAUGGUGCCUUCAUGCGUGCUGCUGGAUUGCAAUUCCUGAUCCAGUCUGCAUCACCUUAUGCUGCAAUCCAAGGAAUGUGAAAUAUAGGUGGCUGGCAAUGCUAUUUCAAAGGAACAUCAAGCAUAUGAAAUGCUGGUUUAGAUCAUUAAGGAGGACGCCAUACUUGGAGUAAGAAUAUUGUCAUCAUGAGUCAACAAGGUUAUGUUGCAGCUCCUCUGUAUUCCGAAUACCAGCCAAGAGUGGGAGGCUUUUCUACAAGUUUUGGACCGCCUAAUUCUUCACUUCAUUAUGGGCAUUAGGGCAAUCCCAACUCCUCAUAAGCAGCGCCUCAACCAGGUAUGUCAAAAUCAACUGUGCCUCUUGGAUCUUUUGCUCCCGUUGGGUCUCCACCACCUGGUACACAUCAGUUCAGCCAGACCAACUUCCAGAACGGGCUCAGUGCAGCAGGACAGCCAACGCACAGGUUUCAAGGCCCGCCACCUCCAAACAAUACAGGACCUUUCUGUCCUCCCUACAGUCAUCAGUCACAGCCAGCCUACCCAAAUACUGCAUCCACUUCAUCUAUAACACAACUUGCUAACCAGCUCAACAGCAUGCAGAUAAAUAGCUACGGUCCUGGCACUACUCCGAGCUCUCAUACAUCUUCUGGGCAUCCAGCAUCUUUUCAGUGUCCACAGCCAACACCUCCAACGCAGCAGCAAAUGGCCUUGCCACCUGGAUCACAGGUUCCUCCACCAGCAAAUAAUUUGUGGCCUUUGUGCUCAGCCUUCGUUGCCUACUAUGGCCAGACAAGAUGGGAUCCCUGGAUCUGGCUCCCCAAAUCCUAA
rnacentral:lncRNA from 1 species